GAUUGGCGCGGUCUACCAUGCAAGUCGAACGGCAGCACAGGGGAAGCUUGCUCCCUGGGUGGCGAGUGGCGGACGGGUGAGGAACACAUCGGAAUCUACCCAGUCGUGGGGGAUAACGUAGGGAAACUUACGCUAAUACCGCAUACGACCUGAGGGUGAAAGCAGGGGACCGCAAGGCCUUGCGCGAUUGGAUGAGCCGAUGUCGGAUUAGCUAGUUGGUGGGGUAAAGGCCCACCAAGGCGACGAUCCGUAGCUGGUCUGAGAGGAUGAUCAGCCACACUGGAACUGAGACACGGUCCAGACUCCUACGGGAGGCAGCAGUGGGGAAUAUUGGACAAUGGGCGCAAGCCUGAUCCAGCCAUGCCGCGUGUGUGAAGAAGGCCUUCGGGUUGUAAAGCACUUUUGUUGGGGAAGAAAACCUGUUGGUUAAUACCCGGCGGGAAUGACGGUACCCAAAGAAUAAGCACCGGCUAACUUCGUGCCAGCAGCCGCGGUAAUACGAAGGGUGCAAGCGUUACUCGGAAUUACUGGGCGUAAAGCGUGCGUAGGUGGUUCGUUAAGUCUGCCGUGAAAGCCCCGGGCUCAACCUGGGAAUGGCGGUGGAUACUGGCGGACUAGAGUGCGGUAGAGGGUGGUGGAAUUCCCGGUGUAGCAGUGAAAUGCGUAGAGAUCGGGAGGAACAUCUGUGGCGAAAGGCGGCCACCUGGUACCAGCACUGACACUGAGGCACGAAAGCGUGGGGAGCAAACAGGAUUAGAUACUCUGCUAGUCCACGCCCCUAAACGAUGCGAACUGGUACGUUGGGCUCAACUAAGGAUCUCACUGUCGAAGCUAACGCGUUAAGCUUCGCCGUCCUGGGGGAGUACUGUCGCGAGACUGAAACCUCAAUGCACUUGACGGGUGACCCGCACAGCUGUGGGAGUAUGUGGUUUCAGUCGAUGCACGUAGGCAGAGGCAUUACCUGUCAUUGACAUGCAUGGAGUUCAGAGAAUGCAAUGCUGCUUCUGGAGCACUGAAAAUGUGCUGCAUGACUAGUCAUCAGCGCCUGUUCUGGCAAUGAUAGGGUUACUCACGCACGAGCGCUACUCCCUGCCUAGUGGCAUCGGAUAGUCGACCUAGCACUGCCGUGACAAAGC
rnacentral:rRNA from 1 species